GACGAAGGGGCUAGCGUUGUUCGGAAUUACUGGGCGUAAAGCGCGUGUAGGCGGUUGCCAAGUCGGGUGUGAAAGCCUUGAGCUCAACUCAAGAAAUGCACUCGGUACUGGGUGACUAGAGGACCGGAGAGGAUAGUGGAAUUCCCAGUGUAGUGGUGAAAUACGUAGAGAUUGGGAAGAACACCAGUGGCGAAGGCGGCUAUCUGGACGGUUUCUGACGCUAAGACGCGAAAGCGUGGGGAGCAAACAGG
rnacentral:rRNA from 1 species